GCGCUCGGGAUCCCCUGUCCUCCGCCAUUGAAGCCUCACGGUGCUGUGCCGCCGACGGUGUCGCGUUGUGACCUCUACGAAGUCGUAGGAGGGACGCCAGAGAACCCGGGAACUUAGAAAUGAGAUGUACUUUUUGUCCUGUGUGGUGUCAGGAAGGGUGAAAUCCCUUCCCCAUGUGGAGGAGCGGAGACACCCUCUUUGGGGAUUGAUUUGGGAGCCAGGAGACACCCCUCUACCAGGUGGGAUGGGAGUGAGAACAGUGCACUGUGUGAAGAUCUGGGCCUGUGAUGAGGUCUGUGUGAAGCUUCCAUAUGUUUCAGGACUCAGUGGCAGUUGAGGAUGUAGCUGUGAACUUCACCCCAGAGGAGUGGGCCUUACUGGAUCCUUCACAGAAGAGACUCUACAAAGAUGUGAUGAGGGAAACCUUCAGGAACCUGGCCUCUAUAGGGAAAACAUGGGAAGAUCGUGAUAUUGAAGAUCAGUACAAAAGCCUGGAGAGAAAACAGAGGUGAGUCACACUCACAAUAGAAAGCAGUGUCUGAUGUAACAAUUCUGUUUUGUUACGAAAUUUUAAAGAGAAGCAGAGAAAUAACCCUUGCUUCAAAUUUAGCUAUUCUUAGAAAAUUUUCACCAAAUAUGCUUUCUGAAAUGUGAUGUAGAGAAUCAGUUUUUGCAAAAUAGUCCACUUAGAAACAGGUUUAAUAAACUCUAUGUAGGAAUAUCACUGUUUUGAUAACAUGAAGGGUGAAAGAAACCCUCUUGUAAAGUAUUCAUUAUAUUUAAUUUCUGAGAAUUGAGACAAGACAGAAAACCUAAACUUUUCCUAUGAAUCAUAAUAAAUAUAAUAAACAUAAAAUCAUUAAUAAUGUGC